GCUUAGGUACUAUUUUAAGGGGUUAAAUUGUUUUUAAAGUAGAUUUAGUGAUUUUACUAACUUAAGUAGCAAUUUGAAAAAGAAAAAAAAAUUUAUGUACUACUUAAUACUUAUGUGUAACUCUAAUUUUUCUUGGUAAUUCAGUGUGGAACAAAUGUGGUUGUAAGACCCAAAUUUUGCCCGGGCCCAACACUCAAAUUAAACAAAUGUCCAUUUACAAACCCAAAAUGCCAGCCCAAAAUUAAAUCUAACCCAACAGACCCAAAAAUUAAAAAACCUAAUGGUCCACAAACUAAAAAAGUUUCAGCAGCAGCCAACCCUAGCCACAUGCAGUUAGUCGCCACCCUUCAAUCUGCGCGUGGCCUCCUCUGACACUACCGCCGCAUGCCUGUCACCGGCCAUCUAUGCGUCCGCUACCUGCAAGAGAGAACCACACGCAAUAGCAGAAACAAAUACAACAAACAAAUAGCAAAACGACAAAGAAAAUAAUGGUUAAGAACAUUGUAAUCUGGCUAUAAAAGCCCCAAGCAGUUUCUUUGUAUUUUUUCUGGACACUCUUACAAACAUUGGAAAUAAAAAUCAAAAGAUUAUCUUCUGCGUUCUUGUCUGAUUUAUUUAUUUAUUUAUUUUUCAUUUUUUUUCUUUUACAAAUCUUUUUUAAAUAUUAAUAAAAAGAAAAAAAAAGGAAAAGGAAAGGGGAAUACCUGAGGUCGCCAGCAAAGCCCGUCGCCGGAGCCUUGUUCGGUCACCAAAAUUGGGACGGGAGAGGGCGUGGCUUCUUCUUCUUCUUUCGGUCUUAGGGCCCAGAAGGCUAGGCCUUCCAGUAUUUUUUGAAUCGGGUUGAAAAUCCGAUCUCCGCGUUGCUUCGAUCACCGCCUACGAUGGAGCCACGGCAACACAGACAGUGGCCCUAUUGGCCGGAUUUGAGGCUGUUAGAGAGAGAGUUUGAAAGCUCUCUGAAUUUUUUUAAAAGGUGGGUUUAAACAUUAUUUUUUGUUUUUUUAUAGUAUUUAUAUUGGGUAUAAAACGACGUCGUUUUGGGCCUUAGCAUCAGUGGCCAAAACGGCGCCGUUUUGAUGUUUGACCCGCGACCCGACCCAGUAACGCCAGGAUCAGCGUGUUUUGUUGGGAGGGGCUAAUUGCAUGUUCAGCCCCUCCGCUUUUGCAACAUAGUGUAAUCAGAUUCUUUUUUAUUUUUGAUUUGGGUCAUAAGAUUUACUGCUUGUUUCAUUUUAGUCCAUUGAAACGCAGCACAGGAAGUCAAUGGGAUAUUUUCCCGAUUAAUCCCCGCUUUACUUUGCGCAUUUGAAA
rnacentral:lncRNA from 1 species